rnacentral:rRNA from 1 species
GAAUGCUGACAUAAGUAACGAUAAAGCGGGUGAAAAGCCCGCUCGCCGGAAGACCAAGGGUUCCUGUCCAACGUUAAUCGGGGCAGGGUGAGUCGACCCCUAAGGCGAGGCCGAAAGGCGUAGUCGAUGGGAAACGGGUUAAUAUUCCCGUACUUGGUGUUACUGCGAAGGGGGGACGGAGAAGGCUAUGUUGGCCGGGCGACGGUUGUCCCGGUUUAAGCGUGUAGGUGUGUGUUCCAGGUAAAUCCGGUUCACUUUAACACUGAGGCGUGAUGACGAGGCACUACGGUGCUGAAGCAACAAAUGCCCUGCUUCCAGGAAAAGCCUCUAAGCAUCAGGUAACAUCAAAUCGUACCCCAAACCGACACAGGUGGUCAGGUAGAGAAUACCAAGGCGCUUGAGAGAACUCGGGUGAAGGAACUAGGCAAAAUGGUGCCGUAACUUCGGGAGAAGGCACGCUGACAUGUAGGUGAAGUGAUUUACUCAUGGAGCUGAAGUCAGUCGAAGAUACCAGCUGGCUGCAACUGUUUAUUAAAAACACAGCACUGUGCAAACACGAAAGUGGACGUAUACGGUGUGACGCCUGCCCGGUGCCGGAAGGUUAAUUGAUGGGGUCAGCGCAAGCGAAGCUCCUGAUCGAAGCCCCGGUAAACG